UACGAAGGGUGCAAACGUUGCUCGGAAUUAUUGGGCGUAAAGGGCGCGUAGGCGGCUUGGCAAGUGGAUGGUGAAAUCCCUCGGCUUAACCGAGGAACUGCCAUCCAGACUGCUUUGCUUGAGGCCGGGAGAGGUGAGUGGAAUUCCUGGUGUAGCGGUGAAAUGCGCAGAUAUCAGGAAGAACACCCGUGGCGAAAGCGGCUCUCUGGAACGGUACUGACGCUGAGGCGCGAAAGCGUGGGGAGCAAACAGG
rnacentral:rRNA from 1 species